GGUGACUCCAAGAUGCAAUUGAACUGCGGCUUGUCCUCGUCGUAGGCUGAGGACAUCGUCACAAGGAGCAACAAGGUAAGAAAUAACACAAACGUUUUGGCAGGCAUAUGGAAAUUGCUGGUUAGCUGUCGAAGCAGAAGAGGGAGCUGCUGGGUUAGUGCUUUUUAAAUAAGGGGCUCUAUAGGCAUAGGACCAAUAGGAGCUAGGAGUGAAUCAGCUGGCUAUUGUCUGGUUGAGGUGGCUACAAGCCAUUGGCUGCGGAUCAGCGCUUGACGUCGUGUCCUGACAGAACUAACGCUAUGCUUCAUUUUAAUCUGAAAAUACCGCUAACGUUUUUGCUAACGUUAAUUCAGGGCAAAAAAAAUAUGUGUAGUUUAUCAAGCUUUUUGUUGGUUUAGUAGUAAGCUAGUCUUGUUUGUUUCUUAGUCAGAGGACUCAAUGACUGAUGUGCCAAAGAUGGAUACUGUUUUUUAAGAGAAAAGUAUUGAAGAGCAUGCAGAGAACAUUGUAACUACUUGAAAAGUUUUGCAUCAUAACCAUAUUUAACAGGGCCACCAUUUAAGGGAGAAAAGUGUGGAUGACCCUAUAGGCCCACUACUGAUGAUAGUCCUUAAAGGGGUAGUUUUGUAUAAUCAAAGUGGGGUUGUUUAAGUUACCUGUAUGAUGACCGUUCUAGCCCUGAUGGAGGGCAGUCAGUUCCUUUCAUGAAAAACAGCCGGAAUAACUAGUACACAAGCUAAGCUACAGUUUUCUGUGUACAUGGUCCAGUCUAUCAUGUGAUUUAGCUAAGUUUGAGAGACUCUGACCCAACCACUCAACUCAGUACAAGUGUAAUCUCUGCUGACAAUUUUCAGUCUUUUGCUAUCAGAAAGACUAUUCAUUUUAGCUCUUUUUGUAGAUGCAACAUGUAUUCAUGCACUAUCGCCUGCAGAGCUCUGAUCUGCUAAUCAGGUCUAGGUUAUUAAAAAAAACAUAAAAACAAUCACAGAUGGUAAUACUUGUUUUUGCUCCUAAGUGUAACUGUUUAUUAUUUCAUCAGUGCCAAAAACUCUUUAAAAGGUAUUUAAUUUUUUUUCAGAAUUCCACAAUUAUUACAAAACUCAGCAGCACCUGUCCUGACUAAGACCGGGAGGCGGGCUCACAUUACAACGGUUUCAGAAUCAUUGCAUUGGCUCCCUGUGGGUUUUGUGAUCAAUUUUUAAGGUUCUUUUACUUGCUUUGAAAUGUCUUGAUGGUCUUGGGCCUUCUUAAAUCUCAGAACUGCUUUAACCUUAUGAACCUUUUAGGACCCUGCGCUCUUCUGGCAGCGGUCUCCUAGUCAUUCCUAAAGCCAGGACACACACUCAUGGUGAGGCGUCCUUUCAGUAUUACGGCCCUCAUCUAUGGAGCAGCUUGCCUCAGCCAGCCUCAGGGCCACAGAGAAUGUUCAUGUUUUUAAGAGCAGAAUCAAAACCCGUGGCACAGUAUUGUGGCAGACUUGUGUAUAUCCUCCAUAUCAAACCAUUCUCUCACAAUUUUUCCGAUAUUUUUUUCCUAUUCCUUUUUCAGUUGAAAACAAACAAAAAAAACAACAAAAAUAAAUUUCAUAGUUUGAAAUAGACAAUUACAGGAUUCCAUCUUCUCAAAAAUCUGUCAAAUUUUAGCUUAUUUUAGCUGUUAUCUUUUCCAUUGAGUAGGUAGAGAUGAUCUUUUUAUGCCAUAUCGUUUUUGUUUUUAAAUUGACUAUAAAACACUUUGCGUUACAUUCUUUUGUAGGAAAAGCCCUUUAUGAAUAAAGUUUUGAUUGGGUUUGAUUUAAAUAUUGAAAUUUGGCAACCAUUCAUGAUAAAACAAUUUCUAAAUAUAAUGUCCUUGUUUAAAGAAUAACAAAAUAAAUUACUAAAAACUUAUCUAAUUCUCUUAAGUAAUUAAAGUCCUGUAGAUGCAGCAUUGUUAAUUAUCAGUCUGUUUUAUAUCCACUUAGAAAACUUUGAAAGGUACUCUUUUUACUUCUUUAAAGGCUGUCACUAUGAUGAAGUGUUUUCAUACAGUGUAGGUGAGAAAAGCAAAAAGUCAUUUGAAAGGCUGAUAGAGCCAACGCUGCAUCAGUGUUUCACAUAAUUUUAGUUUCCACAAUGAAAGCACCACUUUUCGUUUGCUCUGCAACAUAAACAUCAUUCUUGCACUGGCCCUGAAUGUUGGUAUUAGAUACUGGUAAGUUUUGUUAUCAACUUAAAUAAAUGAUAGCUUCAAAUCUUAAAUUUUUCAUUCCCUACAAAGUCAUUAAACAAGUGGAGCAUGGCUGAAAACAAAUCUAUCAACUCACUUCACUGGGGUGAAAUCUUUUCUACCAGGAGAUGAAAAUUCAGGUAAUUCUAACAGGAGGAGCCCUUUAGAGAAAUCCUAUUUCUGCAGCCUGCUUCAGCAAUCUUAUUCUUUGGGUAGGCAGCCAGAUCUCCAGACUGCAGGUGAGGAUUGGAAUGAAGAUGGAUGAUUGAAUUGAGAGUUUAGCUUCGUGAAUCAGCUCUCUCUUUACUAUCAUGCCCACUUCAGACCUGCUUUACCACGGCCUGGUCUCACUUCUACUGAGUGGGUGGUCAAUCACCAUCUUCACCUUCAAUGUACUACAAUUUAAUCCUGACAGAGACAAAAAGCCGGCAAGGAGGGACUUCAUACUGGUGCACUGUCAGGCAUACAACUAAGAGCACCAGUGACAAACAUGAUGUUUUAUGUUACUUUAUUGCACCAUACUGUGGUAAGUCUUAUCAUGAUAAAUAUACAGAUUUACAGACAAAGGCAGACAAAAGGAGGAAUAAUUCAUCAUCCAUCACUAGCAAUUGUGUCUACCCAAAGGGGUCUGUAACAGGGUCUGUAUUAUUUGUUGUUUACCUUUAAUAAAGUCACUUCUGUUCCAAAAACAAAUAAAAACAAGAUUAAACACCGAUAUGUAAACACUUCUUUACAAAUAACUGAAUAUGUAAUGAGGUGUCCUUAUUUCAUCACAUCACUGUAAAACAGGGUCCUUAAUAUUGUUUAAAACAGGGUCUGUAAUAUGCCUUAUAACAGGCUCUGUAAAAGUGUCUAUAUCAGGGUCUGUAAUUUGGUCUAUAACAGAAUAUAUAGAAUAUAUAUUCUAUAUAUAUAUAUAUAGAAUAUAUAUAUGUAGAAUAUUACAGAAUUUUAUAGACCAUAUAACAGACCCUGUUAUAAACCCUGUUAGACACCCUCUAAUAGGGUCUGCGAUAGUGUCUAUAACAGGGUCUGUAAUAUGGUCUAUAACUGAGUCUGUAAUAAUGUUUAAAACAGGGUCUGUAAUAUGGUCUAUAACUGAGUCUGUAAUAAUGUUUAUAACAGGGUCUGUAAUAUGGUCUAUAGCAUGGUCAGUGAUAUAACAUGGUCUGUAAUAGGGUUUAUAACAGGGUCUUUAGUAUGGUCUAUUACAAGAUCUGUAAUAUGGAAUAUAGCAGGGUCUGUUAUAUGGUCUAUAGCAUGGUCAGUAAUAUGGUUUAUAACAGGUUCUGUAAUAGGGUGUCUCACAGGGUCUGUAAUAUGGUCUAUAACAGUGUCUGUAAUAUGGAAUAUAACAGGGUCUGUUAUAGGGUUUAUAACAGGGUCUCUUAUAUGGUCUAUAACAGAGUCUGUAUUAUAGAAUAUUACAGGGUCUGUAAUAGGGUCAGUAAUAUGGUCAAUAACAGGGUCUGUAAUAUGGAAUAUAACAGGGUUUGUAAUAUGGUCUACAACAGGGUCUGUAAAAGGGUUCUUAAGGAAGCAGUCAAAACAAGUCAACUUUCUCAGAUUCCUGGCCAGUUGGACUAUAAAUUCCCUCCAACCAUUUCCCCCUGUUUCCUCCCAGUUUGUCAUGCCCUGAACACCCUAAAAAAGAAGCAUCCAUAUCAGAAGCCCAAAGCGCCUCAACAGACACCUCUCGAAGCCAAGGAGCUACAACUCUACUCUGAGCUCCCUGAGGAUGUCUGAGUUUUCUAACCACAUUUCUGAGGCUGGGCCCAGCCAUCCUCCGCAGGAAAUUCAUUUUGGUCAUUUCUUAUCCACAAAGUCAUUCUUUCUUUCACAACCACAUGGCUCACUACCAUAGAUGGAUAGAGAGGAUAGAUGGAUCUUGUGCCUGGACUGUCUUUCAUACGGCCCAGUCAGGCUCAGCCCAAAAGAUACAUGAAGCCACCAUCUUGUGAGCCCACCAAGGGUACAUGGGUACUGGGUGCAUUUGAAGCUAGGUGGCAAUCAAGUUAAUGCACUUGGACAUGAUGAUCCCUUUCAGCAUGAUGGCCAUGUGCUUGACACAAACAAAUGCAGAUUUGUUAAAAAAUAAAUUAAUAAAAGUGAUGUUGGCGAUCUGUCAGAAAAUCAUCAGGAUGUGAUGUCAGGGGAACUGUCAUGGAAAUCAUCAAAAAAGUUAUGAUUGUGGACUUGUUGCAAAAGUUGUCACAAAAUCUCUUAAGGUGCUUUUUCAAACAUUUUACCUGAGCAACCUCCUGAUUUCAGCACACUAAAAAUGGUGAUGCAAUUAUCAACCAAAGGUGGUGUCACAGCUCCAUCCAUUAUUCACACAGUUAUUACUGAAAAUUUAACUUUCUGUAUCAUUGGUUCUCCUCUUCUGCCAUCAUCACAAUAUGCUGACACUGUGAUGCAUACUGGUGUUGUAUCUACAAGCUCAAAGCUCUGACGUUAAAAGAAAUUCAGAAAUUCCAUAAUAUUGUAAAAAAUUCUGAAACCUGCCCACUGAUUUCUUAUUCAGUACUUGGUGGCAGAUCGAUAUGAGACACAAAAUCAGCUUGAUAUGUUACCAUUGAGCAGAGUGUCACACCUACACAUAAACAAAAGACCCAGAGUGAAGGCAGUCUGCUUAGGCAGCAAACGUGUGCCUAUCAGAGCUGUCAGUUCACAUUAUAUCAGCACUUUCUGAUGUCAAACCAUUCAUUAUUUGUUGCUUGAGGGUCACUGCGUUCUGAUGACAAGGUCGAUAUCCUGAACCUGUGCAGAGGACUCAGCAGGGAGCUUACAUGUCUCAGUGAGUGUGACGCCAUAUACGUGUGUGUGUGUGUGUGUGUGUGUGUGUGUGUGUUGGGGGUUGUGUCACUUAUCACCAGUUCUUGCCUUCCAAGAAAUGAGCAGUGCGAGUUGAUCUGACAUAUAGUCAAAUUUCCAAAAAAUGUUGGAGAGAUAGGGAAAACAACAGGAUCUGACUGCAAGAGCUGUAUGAAGUGUUUUUUUUUUGAUAACAGGCUUGUAUGAAAAACUUUAAAACAUACUUCUAUACAAAACUGUCACAACUCUGUUACAAAGCAUAUCCUUCAUGUUUUUUCAACAUCAUCAUUGUUUAAUCUGUCAUCAGUGUUCUUGAGCAGAGCUGCAUCAAAGGACCAAAAGAGAUUUACACCACUGUUAUGAAUAUGUGUGUGAGUGUCCAAGUGUGAGUGUGAGUAUCUGUGUGGAUGUGUCUGCAUGUGAAAGUGAGCAUGUACCUGUGUGGUUGUACCUGUGUGGGAGUGUCUCUGUGAGAGUGUCUGUGGGUGUGCUUCACUCUCUGAUUGCAGGAUGCCCAGCACCUGCAGCUGCAACAAAGUGAGCAGAGGACAUGCGGCUCACUCUCUCAUUCUCAGCCCAGAGUGACAUUCUGCAGUGGGGCAGCAGCAGCCUUAGUGUGAUUUUCUCAAAAGUGAUUUAUCUUUGUUUAGAAAGAGUGGUGUCUCUUUUAUUUCCCUUUGGUGAGUUUUUGUAGCUGUCACCUGUUAUUGGUAGUCAUCCUGUUCUUAAAAGGAUCGCUUUGUGUGAUAAUUACUAUUGUCCUUAGUUUUGUGAGGAUUGUUUUAUGUUUGUGGUCGUGCUGACCUACGUUUGGUUAUUAAAAUACUUGAGUUAUUGCAUAUUCUUGCCAUUCUCUCUUUAUUUCCAUCCUUACCUGGUUUUUCUAUUUCUAUUUUCGUUAGUCCUGAGUACCCCUAGCUUAUCAGGACGUAACACCACAAAGACUGCAUUAUCCACAAUAGAUGCAAAUAACUCAUCUGUUUUAAGAGAUGAGCCAGUGAUGUUUUUAUCUUUUAUUAUCUGUAACCAGACGUGGAGCGUCUGUCAAGUUUACUAUACACAGGAACUGUUAUGGCUGUUUUCAGCCACUAACUUUUUUAACUGCUCUAAAAACAUAUCAGAUCAAAUUUUUUUUCACAUAAAUCUCUUAAUCCACUUCUGCCCUGCUCAAAACUACCAAGCAUUGAAAAUUUGCUGGUGGAUGCCUCUGGCUCCGACUCUGGCUCCGACUGUGGCUCUGGAGCAAGAGCGGAAGCUGCUGCAGCCUUCAUCCUCCUCACUAGUGCAGCAGCAAGUGAUCCGCGAGGCAGGUGCUUCCUCCUUACCACUGCUGGAGAAACCAGAGACAUGCCCAGCUCUUCGAGGAAGAGUCUCCUUUUAAAGAGCUUUCCCUGUUUCCAAGAGGGAUCCACAUCUUGGAAGAUGACAACGGCAUUGAAGGCUGAGAUGUCCAACAUGUUGAAAAACAGGGCCAUCAGCUACCGCUGCAUUCUCCUUUUACAGCUGUAGGUGCCAACAACCUAAAAAGAAAGAAGAAAAAAGGAGAAGAAAUCGAUAUAGAAAUCAGAUCUCAAAAUGGAAGUGUUUUUUUUCUAAACCAGCACAUAACAAUGACAAAAGUCAUGCAAACAUUAUCAAAACAUCAAAUAAAUCUCAUAAAUUUAUCUCAUUCAAGACCUCAUGGCACAUACCUUAUCUAGGUUGUCGACACCUCCUUUGAUGCAGUUGUAGAAGGCGAUGAUUUCAGGCUUUUGCUUUGGGCCCUCUGUAAUCUGUGGGUCAUGGUGUUGUGUGCUGAUCAGGCAGACAUUCUUGCCCUGUUUUGGAAUGUAACUGAUAGCAGUCGUGUUUUUCGUAAAGGCAAAAAACGAUGGAGUUGACAGGCCGGCCUUUAGCCAUCGUGAUAUUUGGUGGCAACUCCGGCUAUUUGAAAAAAACUGAUGCUACAAAAAAAUGAAAAAUGAUUGAAAAUCAAUGAUGCUACAUAUCUUUGACAUAUCUAAGACUAUGAUGCCAUGUAAAAAAUCUUGUCUCUGAUCAUGUUUCAUUUUGAAAAAUAGGUCAUUUGAUGCUUUACCCUUCCCAUAAUAUGUCCCAUAUUUCUUUAAAUGGCCAUUAAGAGCUUAAAUGUUUUAUUUAUUUUUCAGUGCUUGGUAAUUUUGAGCAGGGCAGAGGUGAAUUAAGAUAUCUAAGCGAAAAAAAAAUAGAAAAAAAAAAGAUCUGAUAUGUUUUUAGAGCAGUUAAAAGUAUAAUGGCUGAAAACAGCCACUGUUGUCUCUUUUGUCCCCUCAGCUCCACGUCUCCAUAAAGAUCAGGACUUUGAAAAGACUGAGAUGUGUGGUUUCCACUUCAAAACAGCAUUAUGAGGCUAGUUAGUUACAGGACAAUGAAAACUGGCCACUUAAGUGUUGGUCCACCAUCUGUAUUACUUACUGUGUUACAGCCCAACUGAGACCUACCACAAACAGAUGAAGUAGCACGUCAUGAAUAUGCAGAAUGUACGCAGAUUAUCAGAACGUGCCAAAUACUGGGAGGAGGAGAUGUAAAUGAAAUCAUUUGACACCCACCAUGUGAUUUAUCAAACCCCAAAACUGAGUGUGUUCCCUGUUUUCGCAUCUAUAUAUAGCACAUUUGAAAGGCAAGUGCAAACUGUGCACAGUGUUAAGCACAAACAACUGCGGCCAUUGUAAGGAAAAGGAGGCAAAGGUGCAAUGACAGAGGACAGAAAAAGAGAAUCUUCUGUGCACAUGUGUCAACAUAUUUGGAUUUCGGAAAUAAAAGUAGAGACAUAUCGUCUGUCUAGCAAUAGCAUUUUUGAGCUAUCGGAUGACCUAAGGGCUGAUUUCUGCCGGUCCCCCACUGGUUUUAUUCGCUCACAGAUGGCCUCCCAAAUCAUGUUUCAUCUGGCAAUGCUGAGAGGUCUCUGCUGGAGUUUACCAGUGUGUUUACUUGCCUCCUCCACCAAGACCUCCAACUCCAUGGCUUGAAACGUCAUUUUUGUUGUUUAUGGCCACUCUGCUCUCACAAACUCUCCAUAGUGACCAGUGGUGGACUGGACCAUCGGGAUUCCCGGUGGCCUGGCGUGUGCCCAUGUGUGUGUGUGUGCGUGUGCCCACAGGCAGGCCACUGAACUUGGAAAGCAGGCCAGGCUAGCAGUAAAAGGGUUUAAUUAAUUUAUGUCCGUUGCCGUGGUAGCUGUUGCGACCGGAAGUAGAGCUGAGAGGUCAUCGUCCACAGAUGCAUGCACUCAUCGAGCAUUGUUGUCCGCUCCGCUCCCGAGCUGAUCGUGUUUCUUUCUCCUCCUCCCCCUGAGGCAACGUCUGUAAGUGUUUUUCAUGCUGUCGCUCUGAGAUGUGAUUGUUUUGAGUUUAAUGAGGUCGCUGACCGACACCGAGACAGCCACGAUGCUAGUGGUGCAUGCUAAUCCAAGUUUUAUGCCUCUUGAGAACUUUGACUUUUUCUGACAGGCUCUCAACAUUGUAUAUAAUACAACAGCAAUGUUGUAGGCUACAUUCUUAGUUUAAAUGAGUAAACAAAUAUUUAAAGAUGACAUCAUUGACAGGAUGGCAGUGAGCUACUGCGACACCUUCUGGUUUUCUAGUAGUUUUAUUACUUACUAGUUAAUCUGAAGCAAUAAUUACACCUCAAGUUUGAAGGGGGUGGGUGCAUCUCAGAAAUUGUUUACAUUUUAGUUAACAUUUUUGUUGAAGCAAAGUUGUGUCACAUUGUGAUUGUAAUUUUGUUUUUUAAUUAAAUAAAGUUUUCCAUGAAGGUGUCUCACAGAGGCAUAUUUUUGUUUUUACUUCAUAUUAAAUUUGCAGUUAUGUAGCCAAUGUCGAAUUCUUCACAUUUGCAUUAUAUUCAUUAAAUCUGGCUUCAUAUGUCCAAAACUUUUUGCCAGUGCCGGCAUUCCUGUGUCAAUAUAUAUUGGCCUGGCCUGAAUGGGAUCAAACUCCUGGCCUGAAUUAUGGUCCCACCCCUGAUGGUGACAUCCGGUAGCACACACAAAAUCUGUGCUGAGGACUGUGGCUGCCACCCCAGUUGCUGUUCAGAGUAACAUUCAAACAUACCCAGACUGGUCUGUGCAUCCUAUAUUUCAAGAUCAUUCUUUGUUGGCAGCCGUCAUUUCUCUCGCUCUGUCUGAAUCAGUAACACACAACGCCAAAUACAUAAUGACGUUGAUCACAUGAAUGCACCCUCCACUCUCUAAAAAGGUAACCGCGAAUCAUUUUUCAUUGCAGCCAAUCAUUACACAUUUGUAUUGAUUUUUAACUGUCUCGCGAUGCAUCGUUACAUCCCUACUAUUAACAUAUUCUUAUUCUACUCUCUCUCUCGUGAGCUUUAAUCUGACUUUGUCAGUCUUAAACACACAGUAGAAGCCGAUGAUUACAAGUAAUAUUUGAGUUCAUGUGUUUUUGUUGUGUCUAAUCUGUGAUGGAUGUUGUCGAGCUGUGCAAAGUUUAGAGAAGAAAACUUACUGUGUCGAUGUUUUGGCUCUCCUAACAUUCAAACAUUUCCCCUCAGCUCCCAUAGAAUGUAUAGUUCACUGCAUAUGAACCAUCAUCGUUUUCUAUUACAGUCAAGCAAACAUCCCCAUGGAUGCCUGGCAUGUGCAGAUGAUCCACCGCAGCAGAACAGUUGACCGCUCAGCUUUGUACUUCUGUGGUUUCCCAACUCUCCAACACAUCAGACACAAGGUGUGAAUGUGUGUGUGUUUGUGGUCUUUACAUUAUCAGUAAACAACAGCCCCACAGCUUAACCAGUUUGAUACUGAAACUAUGUAACCCUGUGUAAUUGUUAAAUCACUUUUUUAUUCAAAUUUGAAUCAAAGUUUCAGCUUUUUAAAUUUCUCUCCAUGUUCAGAGGUAGAUUUUCUCACCCUCUCGCUCACUCUCACACAGUUUUACAAGAAGAAGAGUGGAGUGGUUGUGUUCCAGCAGAGCAGCAGAG